UAGUUUGUUUCUAGAUUACUUUGUGCCUGAUGAUGAGAACUUUUAUUUUUGUAUUGAUAUGUGCAUUGAUUUCAUUUUGAGCCUCCAUCUUUUCUGCUCCCACCAUCUUUGGUACUCACCAUCAUCUUCAAAAGUCCAUUAUUUUAUUUUAUUUUAUUUAUUUAUUUAUUUAUUAUUAUUUUCUCAUGUUGGCUGUGGUGAUGAUGAUGAUGAUCUGUGUUUGCUGUUGGUGGUGGUGAAUGCCAAAGGUGAUGGUUGAAGUGGUGGUGUUUAAACCUUGAAGAUGUGAUUGGUUCUUAAUGAAUUUUCAAUGUUCAUGAAAUUUCUAGCAUUAGUCUCUGAGGGCAUUUAUAUAUUAAAAUGGUCUCUUUUUAUAGCUACAAAAUAUAUAUUUUAUUGCGUAAUGUAAUAAGAUGAAGAUAUUGUCAUUUUUUUUUGUUAGUUUUCACUUUCUUUGCAUGCUUAUUUGCCCUGUGAUGGAAAAUCUAAUUUUCAGAAGCAGUUUCAUGGUUUUGCACUAUAAGCCUUCUCUCUCUCUCUCUCUAUACAUACAUACAUACAUAUAUAUUGCUCUCUCUCUCUCUCUCUCUACUUUUUCACCAGAAAAAGUCUAUUUUACAGAAGCUAUUGUGAGUGCUAUUAAGGCUUAUAAUGAAAAUUCUCAUAUACACUGUUAAUGACCAGAUUAGCUUAUGAGAUCUGAGGGCUUUUGAAUAUAUAAGUUUGUUAUUCUCUGUUUUAUAAUGCUUUAUUUGCUUUAUCACCUGUUAAUAGAUUAGAGGAAGAAUUAUUUAAAGAUUACCUUUAUUAUUAAUCUAUUUUAUAAUGCAUGUUUUUGACCACUACUUGACAAUGCCUUUGAUGCUUUUGUAUCAAGUAACUUGAACCUGUUUGCAGUGCAUUCUUGUUUACAUUGGAUUUGAUUUUGUCGUUAUCUGUUUUGGCCAAUCUUUGCUUCUUAGAUUAUGAACUUUUUUUUUUGGCCUGAUGAUGAUAGUUUUAUGUACGAGUCUUCUGUUUGGUUUUAUCUUUCUGUUCCCACAAUUAUCAACAUUCAUUGUAAGCCUCCAAAGGCCAUUUGCUGCAUAUUUUGUGUCAACAUAUCGUUACUCCUAUUAUUAUUGUUGUUCUCUAAAGGAUAGAAUAAAUAAUCUGUUGGAAGUGCAUUUAUGGUGGUUUUGGUGAAUGUCGAUAGCAGUGGGCGUAGUGGUAAUGGUUUAACCUUCUGAAUGAUGUGAUUGAAUUUUUAGCAAGUUUUGCUACAAGGUGGCUUCAACAUUGUUGUUUUCUUCAGGAACUUGUUGGAUUGAGUACUACAUUGUUGUUUAACGUCUACUCUCAUUGAUACUUUUCUGGGAAUGGAUUUCAUUCUUUUCAGUACUUUUUUUUUAUUCAAACCUUUGUUGUAAAUAUUGUAUUUUGUUUCUCUUUGUAAAAUCGUAUUAUAUCUUUCUUCUUUUGAUGUGUUCUGGAAUUUGUAUCUUAGAUUGGACAGUUUUAGUCUACAAUUUAUUUCUAACACUUUACAAUACUAUUAAAAUAGAUUUAGUUAUGAUUUCUUGUUAAAAUUCUUUUCUUUGUAAUUUACUUUUCUAAAAUAUUCUUACAGUGGCAAAAUUUAUUUUUAUUCGCUAGAGUAAAUUGAUUUUUUCUUCCCUAAGUUAUCAUUCUCUUGCAUCUGAUAGUGGUGAAAAUAAAUUUUAGAAAUUAAAUGAAUUGUCUUUAAUCUCUUAUGCCUCUCUAAUUCUCUUAUUUAUGUUAUUUUUCCCUCUCAGUUGAAAAUUAUGGAAUUCAUGAUUAUGCUUUGAGCGAAUAAAGAAAGAUUGUUUUAAAAUGAUUUUUAAACAUUUGUUGUAUCCCUAGAAGCCCGUUUUUAUUUAUUAAUAGCCUUCUGAUAUCUCAAAUUACUGGUAUGUUAUUCCCUUCUCUGUCAGUCCUUUAUGAUGUAAUUUUGUUUAUCAUUUAUAUUACAGUUUUUGUAUUUUUUUUAUCUUAAUGUACUUACUAAGGUUGAUGUCAAAUAAUAUUUUUUCUCCUAAUGAGCAGUAUUUAAUUUUUUUCCCUUUUUUUUCUUAUUAAAUUUAUUCUUUAACAGUUUAUAGUGAGUCUACAAAUUAUUGGUGGUUAUUUGUCAAUCUUUGGUUUUGCUCGAUUAUGCGAGUGUUGUGUUGAUUUCAUUUUGAGCUCCAUCUCCCACCAUCUUUGGUACAUAUCAUUGUUUAUGUCAUUGUUAUAAUUACUAUCAUGAGAUAUGACAUGUGCACACAAAAUUGUGCUAAACUUUUAUUAUAUUUUUUGUGCACAACAUUUUGUGUGUAAUGUAGGCUGUAAUAUGUGGAGACAUUGUUUAUGUGAUUUUUAGGUUUAUCGUGGUGGUUUACAUGUUGUUUGCUCUGUGAUGGAAAAACUCAUUGUGGAAAGCAGUUUCAUGGUUUUGCAUCAUGAGCCUUGUUAUAUCUGUCCUACUUUCUCUCUCUCUCUAUCUCUCUAUCUAUCUUGUGCUGGGCACUGUUGGUGCCUUGUAGCACUGCUCAUAUCUAUAUAUAUAUAUAAAUAAAUUUCUCUCUCUCUAAGGGUGGUUGAACGGUGUACUAAGGCUGAUAAUGAAAAUUCUCAUGUUAUACUGUUAAUGUCCAGGUUAGCUAUGAGAUCUGAGGGCUUUGGUAGACUUAUCAUAUACUUUAUUUUAAAUAUUUAUUUUAAUCUGUUUUGCUACUCACGUGUCUUUGACCACAACUUUACCAUUCCAUUUCAGUUUGAAUUGUGUGCAUUUCACUUUUCUUUGAUUCUCAUUUGGAUGAUUUUAUUUUAAUAAAUUUAAUCUCUUUGCAUUGCAUUCUUGUUUAUAUUUGGUUGUGUUUUUGUCGACUUCUUUACAUGCUAUAUUGGCUGCUAAUUUAUUAAUCAAAUAUUUUUUUCUGCCAAAUGUUGACAUUUUGUUGCAUCUAUUACUUUAUUUGCUUUUUUAUUAUUUGUUUCAAUGAACUUAAUCUGUUUGAUGUCAAUUAAUAUUGCAUUAAUUCUUGCAAAUUUUUUGAUUUUCUGGUUUUGUUUUUCUUUCUUUUUGAAUAGUUUUUCUACAAUCUAAAGCUAUAUCUGUCAAUUUGUUUAUGGCUAAAACUAUUCAGAUCAAUCUUUGUUUCUGCCCGAUGAUGAAAAUGUUCUAAAUUGAUUUAUUUGUUGAUAUCAUUUUGAGCCUCCAUCUCUUUCUGCUCUCACCAUACUUGGUACAUAUUAUCAUCAUCAAAAGUUCAUUCUUUACUGCUGUUGUUGUUAUUAUUAUUAUUAUUUUCUUGUUGUUGUUGGUGGUGAUGCUGAUGAUGAUUUUCUAUGUUUGCUGUUGGUGGUGGUUGAAGUGGUGGUAUUUCAACCUUAAAGAUGUGAUUGGUUUUUAAUGAAUUUUCAAUUUUUCUGAAAUUUAUAACUAUAAUAUCUGAGGGCUUGGCUUGUAUAGGAUGUUUUCUACGUAUAGCUUUCACGUUUGGAGGUUGACAAUAUUAGGGGUCUUGAUAUGUUAAGAUAUUGUUUAUGUGGGUUUUUAUGUCUCAAGUGCUUUACAUGUUUUUGGCCCUGUGAUGGAAAAACUCAUUGUGGGAAACAGUUUCAUGGUUUUGCAUCAUGAGCUUUGCUACAUCUGUCCUGCUCUCUCUCUCUCUCUCUUUUGUUGUGAUUGCCACUUUAAGAGCACUCCCAUUAGCUUCUCUACUUUGUGGUGCCUUAUAACAACACUCGUAUAUAUUUGUAUUUCUCCAUCUCUCUCUCUCUCAUAGGAUGGUUGGACUGUGUAGCAAGGCUCAUAAUAAAAAUUCUCAUGGUAUUCUGUUAAUGACCAGAUUAGCUAUGAGAUCUGAGGGCUUUCUUUGACUGAUCAUACACUUUUUUGAAUGCUCAACUUUGUUUUUCUAUUUUACUUUGUUGUAUCACCAGUUAAUCAAUGUAAUAUUGUCUGUUAAAAUAUAUAUCUUUUUUUGUUAAAAAAAAUAAUGCCCGAGGAUGACAUUUUGUUGCAAUGAGCUUUCAUUUUGAUCUUUCAUCUUUUUGCUCCUAACAACAUCGAUACUCACCAUAUGCCAAAAAUGCCCUAUCUCUAUGUAAAUUUUUGGUGCAUAUUAUUAUUAUUGUUGUUUUUUUUUUGUAGUAUCUUCCUCAAUUUAUUGUAAGUUAACCCUUGUAUAAACUACCAGUCAAUGCAUUUUGUGUUGUUUAUGAUAGUUCAUUCAUUCUUACUCUAAUUCGUGUUUCAAUUUUGAAUUUCUUUGACUAUAUUGUUUGUCUAAAAGAACAGAGGGGUGUAUCUAAGUAUGUUUAAUCUCUUUUCUGUGUUAGUUAUGUCCAUGGUGCAACUGUUGUUGAUCUUUCUCUUCAUUUUUUUAAUUUUUGUAAUUGCUUUUAUUUGUUUUUUCAUGUUUCUAAACUGUGUUAAAUCUUUUGUAUUAGCUAGUUAUGAUUUUUUUUUGGGAUAUGCUUCACUUUGUUCCUAUAUUUUAGGGCUUCUUAUUUAAAAUGUUAUUAAGAUUAUUAAACGUUUAAAUUUUUGCCUGAUGAUGAGUACUUUUUUUUGAGCCUCCAUCUCUUCUGCUCCCACCAUCUUUGGUACCAUCAUCUCCAGAAGUUUUAUAUUUAUUGUUAUUUUUUUCUCAUGUGGUGGUGACGACAAGGACGACCAUGUUCUGUGUUUUCUGUUGGUGGUGGUGAAUGCUGAUGAUGGUGGUUGAAGUGGCGGUGUUUCAACCUUGAAGAUGUGAUUAGUUUUCAAUGUUCAUGAUAUAACUAGCUCUCUGAGGGCAUAAUUGGUUGAUAUGAACUCAAAAUGAGGAUAUGAGGAUGCAUGUAUAUAUUUCUGUACUUUUUUUUUUGCAUGGAAAGGAUGUGAUGAUACUUUACUAUAAUGCUUUUUUUUAAUUAAUUUUUUUAAUGCAUAGUUUUCACGUACUUACAUGUUUUUUUGCCCUAUGGAAAAUUUCAUUUUGAAAAGCAGUUUUAUGGUUUUGCAUUCUAGUUAUGAAUAUGUUUAUGUAUCUCUCUACUUUUUCUGGAGAAAAAGUCUAUUUUACACAAGCUAUUGUGAGUGCUCCUAAGGCUUAUAAUGAUAAUUCUCAUGUUCUGUUAAUGACCAGAUUAGCUAUGAGAACUGAAGGCUUUUAUCGUCUAAUCUUCUAGUCUGUUGAAUAUAAACUAACCCUUGUAUUUUAAUCUGCAAGAUAAUGCAUUUUUCUUAAUAAAUUGCAACAUUCAGUUCAUAUUUUAUUUCUGCCCGGAGCACUUUUUGGAUUGUGUAAACUACAUCGAGUGUUUCAUUUUUGUAACUGUUACUAUCAUUCAUUAUCUUCUCAGCAUUUUAUUCUUCUUAAUACUUGUUUUUUUUUUAUGCUUCAAUGACCAAUGAAAUUUUUAUCUUCUGUUUCUGUUGUGUAAAAAAGUAUUAUUCACGAUCUUUCUUCUUUGUUUAGGAAAAUGCUUUUAAAUUUUCAUCAAAAAGAAGUUUUUGAUCACUUUAACUUCUCCAUUUUAUUUGUAAUACUUUAGCAUAAUAUUAAAAUUCUUAAAUUUCUCUGUAAUUAGUUCCUCUAAAAUUUUGUUUCUUCCCUCGUUAAUAUUUUUAUUAUUAUCUUUUGCAUCCGUUGAGUUGGAGAAAAACAUUCAGAAAUUACACUUUUUUGCAUUCUCUGUGCUCUCUCUCUCAAGGUAUAUAAAGGUGUAAACUGGCUUUAAUGAAAAUCAUGGUUAAUCUACAAACUGGUUUGAGUGAAAAAAGUUGGAUGCAUCUCUAAAAUGGCCUGGAAUUGCCGAAUGAGAUCUGAUUGCUAAAGAUAUCUGUAAUUACUGGUAUGAUAUUCUCUUAUCUGUUAUUAAUGUCCUUUAUUGUUCAAAUGUUGUUGAUCAUAUCCGUUACUUUAUUUAUUUUAAUGGACUUUAUCUGUUUCAUGUCAAUUAGCAUUUUGCUUCAUUGAAUUAUCAUUCAGGGACAAUGCAGUUAUUCUUGUAAAUUUUUUGUUUUUUUCCCCUUUUUUGAAUAGGUUUUUUUAAUUAUUAUUAUUAUUAUUUUUUUAUCAUUAAACAAAAUAGAGCAGCUCUCCCAAUUAAUGACAAUUAGUUAAAGCCUAAAGCUAAUGAAAUUAAUCUAUGUUUCUGCCCAACGAUGAGGAUGUUUUGUAUUGGUUUCAUUUUGAGCCUCCAUCUUUUUCUGCUCCCACCAUCUUCUGUACAUUUUAUCACCCUCAAAAAUCCAAUCUUUAUUAUGAGUAAUGAUUUGUGCACACAAAAAAGGCACUAAAAUCUUUUUACGAGUAAUGAUAUGUGCACACAAAAUAUGAACUAAAACAUUAUGGGAUACUGCUAUAUUCUUUAUUAUUAUUAUUACACAAUGAUAUGUGCACAUAUCAUUAAUCUAUUAUUAUUUUGUUGUUGGUGGUUAUGGUGAUGAUGCACAGCACUAUGAUGAUCUAUGUUUGUUGUUGGUGGUAGUGAAUGCCGAAGGUGGUGGUUGAAGUGGUGUAUGUGAUUGGUUUUUAAUGAAUUUUCAAUGUUAAGAAAUUUUUAACUAAAAUCUCUGAGGCCAUAUUAGGAUGUCUCUACAUAUAACUUGGCUUGCAAGAAAUGGGCCUGUGAUAUGUCAAGAUAUUGUUUAUGCGGUAUUUUAGGUUUCAUGUGCUUUACGUGUUUUUUGACCUUUGAUGGAAAAACUCAUUGUGGGAAGCAGUUCCGUGGGUUGCAUCAUGAGCCUUGUUACAUCUAUCCUACACACUCUGUCUCUCUCUUCUCUUCUCUAUGGUGCCUUAUAGCAAUACUCGUGUGUGUAUGUGUAUAUAUAUAUAUAUAUUUAUAUCUCUCUCUCUUCCUCUCUCAUAGGGUGGGUAGACGGUGUAUAAAGGCUCAUAAUGAAGAUUCUCAUGUUGUGUACUGUUAAUGACCAGAUUAGCUAUGAGAUCUGAGGGCUUUCUUUGUUUGAUCAUACUCUUUUCUUUUGAAUAUUCAUGUUUGUUUAUCCAUGUUGUUUUAUAACGCUACUUGUUAAUAAGAUGUGUUAUUGAAGAUUUUUCUAAUGACAAAUAAUGAUUAUCUUUAUUAUUAGUAACUAGAAGUUACUUUGCAGUAGGUUUUGGUUUUGUAUUUGACCUCUACUAUGUAGAAGUUAAUCAUUUUUUCGGCUAUAGUAUAUUUGGCUCCUCAAUCAUUUAUCUAAACUUUUUAAUUCCUGAUGACAUUUUGUUGCAAUAAGUUUUCAUUUUGAUCUUUCAUCUUUCCGCUCCUACCUUCAUCGAUACUCUCAGUAAGUGACCAACGCUCUAUCAGUGUGUAAUGUUUUGGUGCAUAUUUUGUGUGCGCAUAUCUGUACUCUUUUUAAUUGUUGUUGUUGUUGGUGAUGAUCUCCAUCUUAAGUUGAUUGCGAUGAAUGUCUAGUGGUCGUUGUAGUAGUAUUGGUGUUAAGCCAUUUGGAUGAUGUGAUUGAAAAUUUUGCAGUGAGAUCUGAGGGCUCUCAUGUUGUUGUUUUCUUGUAGGUGUUUUUAAAAAAAUGCUAUUCUCUUAGUUUCUCCUUCAAUUUAUUGUAAACUAACCCUUGUAUAAACUACCAGUCAAUGUAUGUUGGUUUUCUGUCUAUGUUACAACAUUCAUAUGAACUUUUCUGAAUAUUAUUAGUGUUUUUUUUAUUAAAUGUGAUUUUUGUAUUUGUUUAUUUAUUUUAGCUAGAAAGGAUGAUGCAUGAAAAAUUUGGCAGUUUCUAGUAAUUCCACUGAGUUUUCAUCAUUUACCUUCUUCCUUAUUGUUGGUAACAUCAUGAUAUCUUUUCUUUUUGUAAUAGAUGUUACUACUGAUUUUUUUUUGUUUUUCAUGUUACUAAAUUGUGUACUUUCGGAAUAUGGUUAACUUUGCUUGUGACAUAUUGACACUUCAUCAGUUUAUCUUAAAAAUGAUUCAGAUCAUUUAAAAGUGACAAGUUAUUUCUGCCCAAUGAUGAGAUUUUAUUUUUGUAUUGAUACGUUCGUGCAUUGAUUUCAUUUUGAGCCUCCAUCUUUUCUGCUCCCACCAUCAUUGGUAAACACCAUCAUCUCCAAAAGUCCUUUAUAAUAUUGUUACCAAAAUAUUACACAAUCAUAAUUAUUGUCUCAUGUUGGUUGUGGUGGUGGUAGUGGUAGUAGUAGUAGUAGUGGUUGUAUUGAUGAUGAUGAUGAUGUUGUGUUUUCUGUUGGUGGUGGUGAAUGUCGAUGAUGGUGGUGGAAGUGGUGGUGUUUAAACCUUGAAGAUGUGAUUGGUUUCUAAUGAAUUUUCAAUGUUCAUGAAAUUUUUAGCUUUUAAAUCUGAGGGCUUUUAUCCAUUAAGAUGGGCUGAUUACAUAGCUACAAAAUAUUAACUUAUUCCGUUAUAUUAAAUGGUGCAAAUGAAGUCAAAAUGAAGAUAUAUGUUUUUUUGCCCGGUGAUGGAAAACUCAUUUGUGAAGCAGUUUCAUGGUUCUGCAUUAUAAGCCUUGUUACAUAUUGAACUCUCUCUCUCUCUCUGUGCAUGCGUGUAUAUAUUUCUCUCUUUUUCUCUCUCCAGGAAAUAUCUAUUUAUCUAUUGGGAGUGCUCUUAAGGCUUGUAAUGAAAGUUCUCAUGUUAUCCUGUAAUGAUCAGAUGUGCUAUGAGAUCUAAGGGCUUUCGUAGUCUAUUCUUCUACUCUUCUCUAUAUGUGUGUGUGCGUGUGUGGGCGUGUAUAUAUUGAAGUUUUUAUGAUUCUUUAUUGCUGUUUCACCUGUUUAUCUGUGCUCGAUUUUAUUCAUUCUUUCAGUAUCUGUUAAGAUUGCUAUUCCUCGGAUCCUUUUGAUGAUUUUGUAUAUAGUAAUUUGUAUCUGUUUGCAGUGCAUUCUUGUAUACAUUGGAUUCAUUAUUGUUCAUAUCUGUUUUAGGCCAUUUAAUCUUUUUUCUGCCUGGUGAUGACAAUUUUAUGCAUUGAGUCCUGGUUUUGUCUUUCUGCUCCUACCAUCAUGACACUCAUCAUAUGCCUCCAAAGGUUCCAUUUGGUAGAAAAAGAUGCUAAUUGGUGCGCAUUUUGUGUUAUUAUUGUUGUUGUCGGUGGUUAUGAUUAGGGUUUAGGGUUACGGUGGUUAUGGUGAAUGCCAAUGGUGGUGGUCGUAGUGGUAAUGGAUAUAACCUUCUGGAUUACGUGAUUGCAUUAUAAUAUGAGUUUUGCUACAACGUUUGAGGGCUUUGAUAUUUGUUGUUUUCUUAUCGGUUCUUUUUUGUUUUUUGGUUCUCAAUUAAUUACAACUGACCCUUAUUUUAGUCUAAGUCAAUCUUCCUGAUGAACUUGUUGGAUUGUGUUUACUAUAUCUAUAUGUAGUGAUUUUUUUGUUUUUUUUUUAAUUAACUUUUACCAUUGACGCUCUUCUCUGCAUUUCAUUCUAUUGAAAGCUUCAAUAUCCAGUGAAGUUUGUAUCAUUUGUUUCUUUUGUGUAAAAAGAAGUGUAUUAUUGAUGAUCUUUCUUAUUUGAUGUUUUUGUCUUCGAAUUUGUAUGGAGGAAUCAGGAAAAUAUUUUAGUUUUAUAAGAAAAACAAAUUGUUUACUUUCAGGAUACUGUUAAAAUAUAUUUAUUUAUUAUUUCUUGUUAAAAUUCUUUAUUUUAUUUUUUGUUGUUGUAAUUUACUGGCACACAUCUUUGCUUCCUUGUCGGUUGUUUCUCUAAAAGCCCCUUUUUAUUAAUGGCCUGUAUUAAAUUACCGGUAUGUUUUCUUUUCUGUUAGUUUUGUCCGUUACGGUGCAGCUUUUGUUGAUCAUAUAUAUUGCUUUAUUUUUUACUUUCUGUUUUAAUGCAACUCUGCAUACUAAUGCUACAUCUGUCAAUUAGUUAAUCCCUAAAUCCGAUUAGAUCAAUCUUAGUUUCUCUUUUCUCUUUUUCACCAGAAAAAGUCUAUUUUAUUUAAGCCAUUGUGAGUGCUCUUGAGGCUUAAAAUGAAAAUUUUCAUGUUAUACUGUUGAUGACCAGAUUAGCUGUGAGAGGAUUUUAUUGUCUAUCUUCCAGUCUCUUGAACAUGAGCUAACUCUUGUAUUUUAAUCUACAAUUCCAUGCAUUUUUCUUUAUAGAAUACAACAUUCGUUCAUGUUUUACUUUUGCCUGGAGAACUUUGUUGGAUUUUGUAAUCUAUAUCUAGUGUUUCAUUUUCUCAACUUUUACUAUCAUUCACGCUCUUCUCUGCAUUUUCUUCUCAAUACUUGUUUUUAUCGUUUGUUUCUCUUGUGCAAAAAAAAGCUUCAAUGUCCAAUGAAAGUGUAUUAAUUUGUAUCUUAGAUUGCGGAAAGUAUUUUUAAAUUUCCAUAAAAAUUAAGAAAGUGUUUGGUCUAACUUCUCCAUUUUAUUUGUAAUACUUUAGCAAAAUGUUAAAAAAAAUUCAGUUAUGAUUUGAUUUGUAGUUAAAAUUCUUAAAUUUCUUCAUAAUUAGAUUGUUUCUUCCCCAAGUUACAUUAUUAUCAUUAUCUCUUGCAUAAUGCUAAACUUUGUUUUACAUUUUCUUAUUCUCUUGUUUAUGUUCUCUCUCUCUCAAGGUGUGUAAAGAUGUAAACUGGCUUUAAUUAAAAUCAUGAUUACUCUACAAAAUGGCUGGAGUGAAAAAAGCUGGAUGUGCAGCCUGUAAUUGCUAAAUGAUAUCUCCAAUUUAUCUCCAAUUACUGAUAGCCUGGUAUGUUAUUCUCUUUUUGUUAGUUAUCUCCUUUAUUGUUCAACUUUUGUUGAUAAUAUCCAUUACUUUAUUUGUUUUAGUGGACUUAAUCUGUUUCAUGUCAAUUAGCAUUUUGGUCCAUUCAAAUAUCAAUCUGGGACAGUGCAGUAAUUCUUGUCAAAUUUAUUGUUUUUUCAUGUGUUUUUCCUUUUUAAUAUCGUUUUUUUUUUGGUAUCAUAAUACAGAAUAAUGCAACAUCUUUCAAAUAGUUAAAGCCUAAAACUAAUGAAAUUAAUCUUUGUUUCUGCCCGAUGAUGAGUUAGUUCUGUAUUGAUUUCAUUUUGAGCUUCCAUCUCUUUCUGCUCCCAUCAUCAUCAGCCCGAUCUUUAUUAUGAGUAAUGAUAUGUGCACACAAAAUAUGCACAAAAACAUGACACAGUGAUGGCUGGCACUGCCAUGUUAUUAUUAUUAAUGUUAUUAUUAGUACACAGUGAUAUGUGCACAUAUCAUUACUCCUUUAUUAUUAUUAUUAUUAUUAUUUUGUUCAUUGUUGUUGGUAGUGGUGGUGGUAAUGGUGAUGGUUGAAGUGGUGGUGUUUAAACCUUGAAGAUGUGAUUGGUUCUUAAUGAAUUUUCGAUGUUCAUGAAAUUUAUAAUUAUAAUCUCUGGGGGCAUGUAUAGGAUGUAUAACUUUAACGUUUGGAGGUUUACAAGAUCAGGGGACGUAUUAUGUCAAGAUAUUGUUUAUGUGGUUUUUUAGGUUUCACGUGCUUUACUUGUUUUUUGUCCUGUGAUGGAAAAACUCAUUUUGGGAAGCAGUUCCAUGGUUUGCAUCAUGAGCCUUGUUACAUCUGUCUCUGUCUCUGCAUCUUUCUCUUCUUUACUCUAUGGUGCCUAAUAGCAACACUCUUAUAUUUAUCUCUCUCUCUCUCUCUCUCGUAGGGUGGUUGGACAUGUAGUAAGGCUCAAAUGUAAUGAAAAUUCUCAUGUUAUACUGUUAAUGACCAUAUUAGCUAUGAGAUCUGAGGGCUUUCUUUUACUGAUCAUUUACUCUUUUGAAUAUUCAUGUUUGUUUCUUCAUGUUUUUAUAAUGCUUCCAGUUAAUCAGAUGUGUUAUUAAAGGUCUUGAGUUGCAUUUUUCUAAUGAUUAUCUUUGUUAUUAGUAACUAGAAAUUUGCUUUCUAGUAGGUUUUGGUUUUGUAUUUGACCACUACUUUGCAGAAGUUAAUCAUUUUGCAGGCUAUAUGAUAUUUGGCUCCUCAUCAUUAUCUAUACUUUUUAAUGCCUGAUGAUGACAUUUUGUUGCAAUAAGUUUUCUUUUUGAUCGUCCAUCUUUCCGCUCCUUCCAUCAUUGAUACUCACCAUAAGCCACCAGUGCCCUAUGUGAUGUUUUGGUGCAUAUUUGUGUGCACAUAUCUUUACUCUUAUUAUUAUUAUUAUUAUUGUUGUUGUUGGUGGUGGUGGUGAUGAUCUCCUUUCAAAGGAGUUUGCGGUAAAUGUCUGUGGUGGUAGUUGUAGUGGUAUUGGUGUAAAGCCAUUUGGAUGAUGUGAUUGAAAAUUGUGCAGUAAGAUCUGAGGGCGCUCAUAUUGUUGUUGUUUUUUUUUUAAUUAUUAUUCUUGUAGUUUCUACCUCAAUUUAUUGUAAACUAACCCUUGUAUGUUUACCAGUCCAUUUUGGUUUACUGUCUAUGAUACAGCAUUCAUUUGAACAUCUCUGAAUAUUUUUAGUGUUAUGCAUUUAGUUUUUUAAUAAAUGUGGUUUUUGAAUAUAGCCAUACAACAGUAAUAGAGUAGAAAUUAAAAAGAAGCAGUAAUUUUCCAUUUUGAUUCAUGCGUGAUCUUUUCUUCUAAUGAUUUUCUUUCUGUGCUGAAAAGCGAAAGAACUUAACUCAAUCUGUGUAUUGCCUAGUAAAGAAUUUGGAGGGUGUCUAAUUCCCCCUUAGUCUGUUCUUGUUUUAAUUUAAGGAUUGUUGUUUAAUUAACUCUGAUGAAAAUGUUGGUAGUUUAUAGUUAAUUCCACGAGUUUUCAUCGAGAAUUUUCUUCAUUAUUGUUGGUAACAUCAUGAUAUUUUUUAUUUUUGUAAUACUUGUUACUUUUGAAUUUCAAAUAUGUUUUUUGUUUUACUAAAUUGUGUUAAAUCUUUUGUAUUAGCUAGUUACUUUCGGGAUAUGGUGAUUAAAAGUUCAAAGUUUGCCUGAUGAUGAGAUUUUUUUUGUAUUGAUAUGUGCGCAUUGAUUUCAUUUUUAACCUCCAUCUUUCCUGCUCCCACCAUCUUCGGUACACAGCAUCAUCUCCAAAAGUCCAAUAUUUAUUGUCACCCAAACAUUACACACUUAUAAAUACAAUCAUUAUUAUUACUUUCUCAUGUCGAUGAUGGUAGUUGAAGUGGCUUUGUUUAAACCUUGAGAUGUGAUUAGUUUUUAUGAAUUUUCAAUGUUCAUGAAAUUUUAGCAAUCUCUGAUGGCAUUUAUCUAUCAAGAUCAUAUGAUUAAAUAGCUACGAAAUAUUAACUUGUUUGGUCCAUAUGAAGUCAAAAUGAAGAUCUAUGUUUUUUCGCCCAGUGAUGGAAAACUCAUUUUGUGAAGCGGUUUCAUGGUUUUGCAUUGUAAGCCUUGUUACUUAAUAAACUCUUUCUCUCUAUAUAUAUAUAUGUGUGUGUGUGUAUUUCUCUCUCUUUCUCUCUCCAGGAAAUAUCUAUUUCACAUUAUCUAUUGAGAGUGCUCUUAAGGCUUGUAAUGAAAAUUCUCAUGUUAUACUGUAAUGACCAGAUGUGCUAUGAGAUCUGAGGGCUUUCAUUGUCCAUUCAUCUACCGUUUUGAAUAUUGAAGUUUUUAAUGCAUUUUUUUAUAAUGCUCUAUUGUUGUUUCACCUGUCUUUCUGUGCAUGAUUUUAUUUACUCUUUCAGUAUGUGGUGGAUGCAUGUCUAUAACCACCACUUCACAAUGCCAUUUCACUUUAGAUUACUAUUCUAUGAUGCCUUUUGAUGAUUUUGUGUCAAUUAACUUGAAUCUGUUUGCAGUGCAUCUUGUAUACAUUGGUUUUGUUUUUUUGUCUAUAUCUGUUUCAGGCCAUUUUUGCUUUUCAAAUUAUGAACUUUUUUUUCCUUUUGCUUGAUAAUGACAAUUUUAUGCUUUGAGUCCUCUGUUUGGUUUUAUCUUUCUGCUCCCACUCACCAUAAGCCUCCAAAGGUUCCAUUCACAUAUCAUUACUCCUGUUAUUAUUGCUGUUUGGUUGUGGUGGUGGUCGUAGUGGUAGUGGACCCUUCUGGAUGAUGUGAUUACAUUAUAAUGCAAGUUUUGCUACAAAGUCUGAGGGCUUUGAUAUUGUUGUUCUCUUUGUAGGUUCUUUUUUUUUUUUUUGGUUCUCAAUUAAUAAUUAUUUUUAUCCAAGUGAAGCUGCCUGAUGAACUUGUUGAAUUGGGUUUAUGAUAGGCCUCCACUUACCUACGUGUACACAAGAAAGGGGGUUAAGAAUGCCAGGUGAGCAAUAGGGAAAGAACCAGUAGAGGAGAGUUAGUUAGAGUGCUCGGGUGUGUGCAUGGAUUGUGUAUGGUGGGGCUGAGGUGUAGAGUGCACUUGUUGUGCUACUGAGUGAGUAGAAUAAAUGCUAAAUUGAAACCAGUGACCUGUGAUGGGCCUGAAGAGGGAUAAUCAGAUGGAGGUGUUGGAUGAAUGUGUGGAAUUGUUGAAAUCGGAUUACCUGCAAGAGAGAUAUUGAGGGCCUGCAAUUGAUAUCUCAAAUUACUGGUAUGUUAUUUUCUUCUCUGUUAGUUUGUCCUCUACGGUGCAACUUUUGUUGAUUAUGUAUACUAUUUUACUCUAUCAUUAUUAUUUUUAUCUUGUUUUUGGUGGUGGUAUGCCUUGAGGAUGUGAUUGGUUUUUAAUGAAUUUUCAUGAAAUUUAUAACUGUAAUCUCUGAGGGCAUAUUAGUAUUUUUUUUGAUAUAACUUUAGCGUAUGGAGGUUUACAACAUUAGGGGAUAUAAUACAGUAAGAUACUGUUCAGGUAUCCCGUGCUUUACAUGUUUUUGGCCAUUUGAUGGAAAAACUCAUUGUGGGAAGCAGCUUCAUGGUUUUGCAUCAUGAGCUUUGUUACAUCUGUCCUACUCGUUUGCUCCUUAGCAUGCCAUUUGCUCCUUAACAAUACUCGUAUAUAUCUCGUUUUCUCUCUCUUGGAUGGUAUAACAAGGUUCAUAAUGAAAAUUCUUCAUGUUAUACUGCUAAUCACCAGAUUGGCUAUGAGAUCUGAGGGCUUUGUUCGACUGAGCAAAUAUACUCUUUUGAAUAUUUAUGUAUGUUUCUAUUUGAUCUUUUAUAAUGCUAUUUUGUUGCAUUCAAAUGUGUUAAUGAAGAUUUUGUAUUUGACCACUACUACUUAACAAUGCCAUCUCAGUCUGUAUUGUGAGCAUUUACCUUUUCUAUUAUGCUUUUGAAUGGUUUCGUUUCAAUGAACUUAAUCUGUUUGCAUUGCAUUCUUGUUUUGUUUAUAUAUAUAUAUUGGCUGCUCAAAUAUUUAUCAAAUAAUUUUUUAACGCCUGAUGAUGACAUUUUGUUGCAUUGAGUUUUCAUUUUGAUCUUCCAUCUUUCUGCCCCUACCACCAUUGAUACUCGCCAUAAGCCACCAUGCCCCUACACGUCCUAUCAGUAUGUAAUGUAUUGGUGCAUAUUUUGUGUAGCCAUCAGCAAAGAUUUUGUAUUUUUGUUGCAAAUAUCCCCUAUUAUUAUUGUUGUUGUUGUUGCUGUUGACGGUGAUGAUCUGCAUCUGAAGGUGGUUGCGGUGAAUGUCGGUGGUGGUGGUGGUGGUGGUGGUGGUGGUGGUUGUAGUGGUUUUGGUGUUAAGCCAUCUGAGUGGAAAUUUUGCUACAAGAUCUGAAGGCUGUAUUUUUUUCUACCUAAUUUAAUUGUAAGCUAACUCUUGUACUAUAAGCUUCUAGCCAAUGCUGUUGGUUUCUGAAGUAAAAAUGAAGACAUAUUUGGUAUUUUUGCUGCAAAUGUCGUUAUUAUUAUUUUUGUUGCUGUUGCUGUUGCCGGUGAAGAUCAAAUAUCUUUUAAUGCAUUUUACCAAGUUCGGACGAGUGUUGGCUUAAUAGUAGUAAUCAAUGUUACGAGUC